rfam:Cricetulus griseus cell line CHO-K1, whole genome shotgun sequence.
GCCUGGCUAGCUCAGUCGGUAGAGCAUGAGACUCAAUCUCAGUGUCAUGGGUUCGAGCUCCACAUUGGGCU